rnacentral:lncRNA from 1 species
AGUUCCCCAAAGAUAACACAGCUUUGCACAGUGGAUGUUUACUUGCUGGUGGUCUUAUCUAAGAUCAACAUUGGCAGCUGUGCCCGGAGAGGCCUCCAGGGUCCAGGUCCAAUGCACUUCCCUCUCAGAAGAGGCAUCCGCUAAAAUAGGGACCAAAGCUGCUGGAGGGAGGCAAGGCAAGCUGCUAUGUGAAAAAACGCCAGGCCAGGCAGUCAUGUCACACCUGGCAGAAAUGACUGAAGCAUAGCCACUGGCUGAAGUUAUCCCCACACCCACUCUCUGGAGAGGAUGAUCAGGAGCAGUCUGCUCAACCGGGAGGGCCAUGCCCACUUGGGGCACCCCGCCACCGUGUUCCAGGGACAGCUGGAGCACAUGCUUCUUCCCUCGCCAACCCAGCAAUUCCGCAGGGCAUCUGACCUCCACUGUUGACUUCUACCCAGAGGACAAGAACAUUUUUAGUUCCCAAGGAAUGUACAUCAGCCCCACGGAAGCUAGGCCACCUCUGGGAUGGGGUUGCUGGUUUAGAACAAACGCCAGUCAUCCUAUAUAAGGACCUGACAGCCACCAGGCACCACCUCCGCCAGGAACUGCAGGCCCACCUGUCUGCAACCCAGCUGAGGCCAUGCCCUCCCCAGGGACCGUCUGCAGCCUCCUGCUCCUCGGCAUGCUCUGGCUGGACUUGGCCAUGGCAGGCUCCAGCUUCCUGAGCCCUGAACACCAGAGAGUCCAGCAGAGAAAGGAGUCGAAGAAGCCACCAGCCAAGCUGCAGCCCCGAGCUCUAGCAGGCUGGCUCCGCCCGGAAGAUGGAGGUCAAGCAGAAGGGGCAGAGGAUGAACUGGAAGUCCGGUUCAACGCCCCCUUUGAUGUUGGAAUCAAGCUGUCAGGGGUUCAGUACCAGCAGCACAGCCAGGCCCUGGGGAAGUUUCUUCAGGACAUCCUCUGGGAAGAGGCCAAAGAGGCCCCAGCCGACAAGUGAUCGCCCACAAGCCUUACUCACCUCUCUCUAAGUUUAGAAGCGCUCAUCUGGCUUUUCGCUUGCUUCUGCAGCAACUCCCACGACUGUUGUACAAGCUCAGGAGGCGAAUAAAUGUUCAAACUGUA